rnacentral:rRNA from 1 species
AUGCAAGUCGAACGAAGUAGCAAUACUUAGUGGCAGACGGGUGAGUAACAUGUAGGUAUCUACCCUUUGGCCUGGAAUAACACGAGGAAACUUGUGCUAAUACCGGAUAAGUCUUUACAGAGAAAGCUUUAUGCACCAUUGGAUGAGCCUGCACUUGAUUAGUUUGUUGGUAGGGUAAUGGCCUACCAAGACUGUGAUCAAUAGCUGAUUUGAGAGGAUGAUCAGCCACAUUGGGACUGAGACACGGCCCAAACUCCUACGGGAGGCAGCAGUGGGGAAUCUUGCACAAUGGAGGAAACUCUGAUGCAGCGAUGCCGCGUGAGUGAAGAAGGCCUUUGGGUUGUAAAGCUCUUUCGUCGGGGAAGAAAAUGACUGUACCCGAAUAAGAAGGUCCGGCUAACUUCGUGCCAGCAGCCGCGGUAAUACGAAGGGACCUAGCGUAGUUCGGAAUUACUGGGCUUAAAGAGUUCGUAGGUGGUUGAAAAAGUUAGUGGUGAAAUCCCAGAGCUUAACUCUGGAACUGCCAUUAAAACUUUUCAGCUAGAGUAUGAUAGAGGAAAGCAGAAUUUCUAGUGUAGAGGUGAAAUUCGUAGAUAUUAGAAAGAAUACCAAUUGCGAAGGCAGCUUUCUGGAUCAUUACUGACGCUGAGGAACGAAAGCAUGGGUAGCGAAGAGGAUUAGAUACCCUCGUAGUCCAUGCCGUAAACGAUGUGUGUUAGACGUUGGAAAUUUAUUUUCAGUGUCGCAGCGAAAGCGAUAAACACACCGCCUGGGGAGUACGACCGCAAGGUUAAAACUCAAAUGAAUUGACGGGGACCCGCACAAGUAGUGGAGCAUGUGGUUUAAUUCGAAGAUACGCGCAGAACCUUACCAACACUUGACAUGUUCGUCGCGACUCUAAGAGAUUAGAGUUUUCGGUUCGGCCGGACGAAACACAGGUGCUGCAUGGCUGUCGUCAGCUCG